rnacentral:rRNA from 1 species
UACAGAGGUCUCAAGCGUUGUUCGGAUUCAUUGGGCGUAAAGGGUGCGUAGGCGGCGCGGUAAGUCGGAUGUGAAAUCUCGGAGCUUAACUCCGAAACUGCAUUCGAUACUGCCGUGCUUGAGGACUGGAGAGGAGACUGGAAUUUACGGUGUAGCGGUGAAAUACGUAGAUAUACGGAGGAACACCAGCGGCGAAGGCGGGUAGCUGGGCCAACACUGACGCUGAUGCGCGAAAGCUAGGGUAGCAAACGGG